UACGGGGGGGGGCAAGCGUUGUUCGGAAUUACUGGGCGUAAAGGGCUCGUAGGCGGCCAACUAAGUCAGACGUGAAAUCCCCUCGGCUUAACCGGGGAACUGCGUCUGAUACUGGAUGGCUUGAGAUUGGGAGAGGGAUGCGGAAUUCCAGGUGUAGCGGUGAAAUGCGUAGAUAUCUGGAGGAACACCGGUGGCGAAGGCGGCAUCCUGGACCAACACUGACGCUGAGUGAGCGAAAGCCAGGGGAGCAAACGGG
rnacentral:rRNA from 1 species